UACGUAGGGAGCAAGCGUUGUCCGGAAUCAUUGGGCGUAAAGCGCGCGUAGGUGGCCUCAUAAGUCCGUUGUGAAAGUCAAAGGCUCAACCUUUGAAAACCGAUGGAUACUGUGAGACUAGAGUACGGAAGAGGCGAGUGGAAUUCCUGGUGUAGCGGUGGAAUGCGCAGAUAUCAGGAGGAACACCAAUAGCGAAGGCAGCUCGCUGGGACGUUACUGACACUGAGGCGCGAAAGCGUGGGGAGCGAACAGG
rnacentral:rRNA from 1 species